GGCCGUGACGUCGAGCGGAGUACGCGCGCGGAUUGGCCGCUCGCAAUCUCAUCCCAUAAUUUAUUAAGUCCCGUAUGAAUGGAUAAUAGCAAACUGUGAUAUUUGGCCGGAUCGGUGGACCACCGUCGUCGCGAUCGCCAAAGACGCUGCGUUCGCCCGCGCCGCGCAACAACCGCCGCUUUCCGCGAUAAACAAUCCGCGCUGGUGGCGGCCGUGGAGGAAGGCGCCGCCGUGGCAAGCGGAGGGCAGUGAGCAGGGGCGACGGGCAGCCCCGCCGAGUGUGCGACGUGUGUCUGUGCUGCGCGCUGAUAUCACACAUCCCGAGGAGAGAUAAUACGCGGUGUCCUCAACCAAACAAAAAAAAAACACGCAGCAGCAGCGAGGAGAAACGUGGGUGGCUCGGUGCGGGAAUGGGAUUAAUACGCGUGUGGGCCUCGCUCGCGGGUGUGGAAAUGUUGCGCUGCGAGUAAAAAUUCAGUUCCUACGGCCGCACCGAAGCAAGAGAGGCAUGGUGGUGAAAUGACUGCGGCGGUGUGGUGGUUUUUCUAGCGCUCUAGGAACUAGUGAAUUUCGAUUGUGGCCCCGCUGCCGAGCAACCAGCAGCUGCGUGCUGGCACCAUGAUGGACGAAGGCCCCGACCUGUCACAUCUCACCGCCGAGGAGCGGGCCAUCAUCGAGGGAGUGAUGAUGCGGCAGAAACAGGAGGAGGAGCGCGAGCAAGAAAUCAUGAGGAGGAAAGCCGACGAGGUGCAGAUACUGGAGGAUACGAUACGCGCUCGCAACGAACAACACAAGAAAGCCGGCGUCGAGCUGGACGCCACAUGUCACAUUUGCCUUAAAACCAAGUUCGCCGACGGCGUCGGCCACUUGUGCAACUAUUGCUCGAUACGAUGCUGUGCACGAUGCGGCGGCAAAGUAACGCUCCGGUCGAACAAGGUGGUGUGGGUGUGCAUCCUGUGCCGUAAGAAACAGGAGCUGCUCAGUAAGACCGGCCAAUGGAUGGUCACCACGCAGGGUCUGGACAGCGACAUCCCCAGCCUGCAGCAGGCGCCCUCCGAUAAGCGACCGAAACUGGAACGAGCGCAUUCCGCCGCCGAGAAGGAAAAUCUACCGCUGCAACGCGCCGGCAGCGUGCUACGCCGGCAGUACUCGGAGCAGGAACCGCGCGUGCCCUCGUGCGAGCGCUACAAUCAGCAGGUGUACAACGAGGAGGACCCACGCUUCUAUCAAGGGGAAUUAGAGGGUCUCAUGCGUACGCAUCCACAUCUUGUUCCACGCAGGUAUCCAGACCAAGAUACUGAACCAAUGGAUAUGCAACAACGCAUGUCGAGCACGUCAAGCGCCAACAAGAAGCACAAACGCAGCGGGUCAAGUAAAAAGCUCCACCAGCCUCAACUACAGCGAUCUUAUUCCUCGUCCGAAGAGGAUUUGAAAUCUACACCGGAUUAUGGCAGCGAUGAACGCGACAGUGAAAAAGGAGGCGGCGAUGACGACUGGAUGUACAUUGUGGCACCGCGCCCGUUGCAAGAUGUGACCGCCGACAAUCGAUGCUUCACCGAGCGAAGAAAGAAGACGGUGCGGUUUGAUCAUCAAGCAUGGGACCGGCAAGGAUCACAGGAUUCGCAUCGUGAUUCCGGAAUCGACACAUCGUCAACGUUUACAUCCAGUGAAGAUUCCACCACACGUGGAGACUUGCCCAAGCACCCGCUCACCUGGCAGGUGUCCGCCGAUGGCAGCCGCAUGAUCGGCCAUAUGAUUUUACGCCGCGGAGCGCAACAUACCACCGGCAACAGUGCCGCCAUCUUGGGGUUAAAAGUCGUCGGCGGAAAGGCUUUAGAAAGUGGUCUGCGAGGCGCCGUCAUUGAUAAGGUGAAAAAGGGCAGCAUCGCCGACCUUGAAGGACAAUUACGACCAGGCGACGAGGUGAUAGAAUGGAACGGCAGAUCAUUGCAGGACAAAUCGUAUCAGGAAGUAUCGGAUAUAAUCGCGGAGAGCAAGCAGGAGGCGAACGUGGAGCUGAUUGUCUCGAGAAGCAUGGGGAGUCGGCGUGCGGCGCAAGCAACAUGGCGGCAAUCGGUCGCGCACAGAGGUCAAGGUCAAGUGCAAUGGGAUCACGAAAACUAUGACCGUCCGCACGUGCUGGUAACAUCUCCGGGUAGCCCCGACCGACCCCGUCCGGCACCCUCGUUGACAUCGAGUGUCGGCGGGCGAAUUCAGGUGCGGUUGAGUUUCGACCCGGCAACACUGCAAUUGAUGGUGACCAUUUUAUGCGCGGCUGGAUUAACACCUCGAUCACCCCAUCAGCCACGUAAUCCUUACUGCAAGUUGUUUUUACUACCGGAUAGAUCGGAGAAGAGUAAGCGAAGGACGCGUACGCUUGCUGGUACCACAGACCCGAUGUGGAAUCAGAUGUUUGUUUAUCCCGGACUGAGACGAGCGGAUUUGAGAUUGCGCGCGUUGGAGAUUACUGUUUGGGAUUAUGUGCGAUAUGGUGCGAAUGAUUUCCUGGGUGAGAGUAUAAUAGAGCUGUGGCCUUUGGAGGAGCAACCCACCUGGCGGACGCUAGGCCCGCAUGAGGAUAUUGCUCUCACACCUAGUGAGCAUCUCUCGCCGCCCAGUACGGGUUCGAGUAAUAAUUGUGUGCUCAGAUACUCGGACUCGGACACUCCGUCCGAGUGCGAGAUCGACGGCGGCCGCGAGCGUAGAGGCGCCGACGGCGCAAGCGUCUCCAGCGUGGGCAGCUCCACCAGCCCGCCGCGCGACAGCGAACGACGAUCACGGCGUGAUCAUCAGGAUCACAUCUAUCAAGGAUACAAUAAUCACCAGUCAAACAGUAGUUAUCGACGGAGCAAUAUGGCGGGUCAAAGGUCGCAUUCGGCGGCGCCGUGCGAAUCGCCGAGCGUGCACAUGUCGCGCUCGCGCUCCAAGUCGCCGCGGCGCGCCACCACCGACCACCACCGCUCACUGUCGCCGCCCGACGGCCGCCUCCUCGACUACAACCAGCAGCCGAACAACAACUACGCCGUAACGAGCAGCCGCUUCCAGUCGCGCUCCGCGACAGCCACACCGACCGGCUCGCCGAAGAAACGGCAACUGCCUCAAGUGCCACACCUUGCACGCGCGCUCCAGGAGCGCGUCGCUCAGGACCUCGAGGAGCGCUCCACGCGCUACAAAAUGAGGUAUACACAAUAUCGCAGUACUGGUUCGGGUUGGGAGCGUCGAUAUAGCGGAUUGAGCGAUUCGGAUCUCACGACGCACACACGAACAAGACGAUCGCUUUCACCCGAUCGUGAUAGAGAUCCCCUGGUCGAUUUUGACAGCGAUAUGGAAUCAGUCGCAUCGGUAACAAGCAGUGCGUUCUCCACUCAAUCGGAACGACCACGAGGAUCCAGAGUCAUCAGUGAAAUUUAUGCAAACCGUAAAUUUGCUUCGGCGCAAAAACGCGUGCUUGAACAAUUGCGUGACCAACGCGAGAAAUCCUUAUGGUCCUCACCAGUGCUUCAAACCUUACUCAAUAAUUACACGAAUUAUAAUCAUAAUGACAUUGAAUCACCGCUAGAUGCCAGUAGUAAUGCUAAAUUAUCCUUCCCCAGCACUGAAUACACAACUGGCAGCGGCAGCGACCGUUAUCCUUACGGCAGCCAUCGAACAACAACAUCACGACGCAUGCGUCACGAGAUGGACCACGAGCAGAAUCUCAGGGACCCGCUGGAUGACGACCGGAGGAACCAUCGACAACAUCGUGAGGGUAGUGUGAAACGUGGUCAGUUUACACGCAGUUUAUCGAAUAAUGAAGCUCCUACUGAAGAAAAGAACGAUGGAAGUUUAAGUGAUACUGCGGUAGGACAAGUUGGGGGAUUAGAAGUGCCACAAAAGGAUAUCAUCCGUAAGGAUACGAUACGCAGGGACCCACAGGCGCAGUUUGUGGGUCUCGGCAAGAAGAGUAACUCCACUAGUCAACUGUCAGCCACAGACAACACGCUGAGCGCGACGAUGAUGCCAGGCGGCAACCGGAAGCGUGUGCCGAGCAUUCAGCGAUCGCAGGAGGUUGUGCCGCCGCGGUGCGCGCCCACCGCCGACGGCAGCCAGCGGGCGGCGAGUCUCAAUUCCAUUUCCAGCUCGGAGGGAUCGUCGUGGUCGCCUUCAUUGCGUUUAACCACAGAUGGUGGUCAACUAGCGGAAUUCAUCGAUGGGUUAGGCCCUGGGCAACUGGUGGGCCGGCAAGUGUUAGGGGCGCCUGCGCUGGGUGAUAUCCAAUUAUCCCUUUGCUAUCAAAAGGGUUUCUUGGAGGUGGAAGUGAUUCGGGCGCGUGGGCUACAAUCCAGAGCUGGAUCUAAAGUAUUACCUGCUCCCUAUGUGAAGGUUUAUCUUGUGAGUGGGAAGAAAUGUAUUGCAAAGGCGAAAACGUCCACGGCGCGAAGAACUCUGGAUCCUUUAUAUCAACAACAGUUAGCGUUUAGAGAACCAUUUCAAGGCUGUGUUCUUCAGGUGACCGUUUGGGGCGAUUACGGUCGCAUCGAAGGCAAAAAAGUGUUCAUGGGUGUGGCCCAAAUAAUGUUAGACGAUCUAAAUUUAAGCAACAUCGUCAUAGGCUGGUACAAAUUGUUCGGCACCACGUCCCUGGUUAGUGGUACCUCUUCACUCGGUCUCUCUCGCAGAAGUUCGAUGGCUAGCCUAGAUUCUUUGAAACUCUAAAACCUUAAAUCGAUGAGAAAACAACAUAACCUUAAACUUUAAACUCGCAUAAACGAAAUAGUUUCUAGUAAAAAAAGUCGUUAAUUUUUCGAAAUUCUAACCUAGUUUGUAGCUAGAUCUUGUUUCAUCUGCAUUAAUCAUAUCUAUUUAAUUUAGCCACAUUGAAUUCUAGUGGAAUCGUAUGUAAAAUUGUAUAUAAUUGCUAUUUCUUCCAAUCUUUCCAAACUUUCGAUACCAUACCGGACAAACAAAUUCUUAGCCAAUUGAUAUAGCCAUACUAAAUUGAUCAUGUACACGAACGAUACGAUAUGAAACGAACAAAUAGGGCAAACACUGACAACUAAAUACCACGGACGGUCAUUAUUUGCGUAUCACGUAAAAGUUGCCAUAUUGUGAACCCUGAUGGGCGCUGGGCCCGUGCUGUUGAUGUUGAUGUUGUUUGUAUAAAUCAAGUCGGACGAAAUAAGUAACUGGAUGCUGAGGAACGACGCCAUGCGCGCGCUGCAGUUGCCAAAGUGAGGCCGCCAGAUGGCGGCACGCACGACGAAACAAUGAUUAUACGACCCGGCACGCAAAAACACAGACGAAAUAUUGUAUAAAGGCUCUUAACGAAAACUAUUCAUCAUGCAUAAUACGAAUAAUAUUUGCAGAAGCAACACACAACACACACAUAAACACAUAAACACACACGUAACGUAAUUGUAAAACCGAAACAUGAAAAAGUAACCUAUAUAGUUGAUAAAAAAAAAAGUUCGUUGAUACACACAUCUACUUAAAAUGGGGUAAUAACGCGUUUGCUUGGACAUUUUUCUAUUUUGUGACGAACGAAACAACAAGAUACAUGGCUUUAAAACUUUAAUAAGAUACACAUAAAGUAACCACACUAAAAACGGACGUGCGAACAUACGAUAAAUUGUAUAAAAGAUGAAAAAAACUAUAUAUUAAGAAUAACUAUUAUGCUUAUUGAUUAAUGAUAUGAGAUAUGAGAUAUGAGAUGAACAUUAUUACCAAAUAAGUAAAAAACCAAAGACAUCGUUCGAAAAUUCCAUAUGUAUUGAGAGAAAAUCGUUUCCGUAAACUUAAAGAACGCGUAUUAAACUAUUAAAUUCAUCAAAUCGGUCCAAUUAUUUAAAAAACAAUUUCAAGCGUUUUGUGCAAGCAUAAAAACCACGAGAAACGUACCAAUUCAGUAUUACUUUUCGGUUCCUUUUCAUAACCAUAAAUGAAUUUUAAAGAAAUGAGAAAAAAGCGUGGAAAAUAUCGAGUUACAUCAAAAUUUCACAAAAGAAUGAAGUAAAAUUGAAAAAAAAAACGUGUUGAAAAUAUAAAAGAGCUAUAAAUUAUAUACCUAAUUACAUAUUUAAAGAUAUAUAAGAAACUAUGCUUAAUUGGAAUUGAAAAAUACCGCUUUUUUACUAUUGUACGACGAUAUAAAUAACUAAGAUCUACGAAUGCAUACAAUGAUCCAUGAUUCUAUGCGAGUGAAUGAUUACUUACAUACAUUACGUUGUUAUUGACACACGGGGGCGGGGAACUUGAUAGACUUGACGUGGCGGGACUAUUUCGUUGGUUUUCUGGUUGUAAACAUGAGAGAAAAAUAAACAAAAACAUAAAUAGAGCAUUUUUGACGAAAAACAAUUUAAAAAUCAGUUAAAUUUCAAUUUACUACAAAAAAGGUUAGAAUUUGAUUGAUAAAAUGAUUGUACAAUCUUUCAAUAUGCUUGACAAGCAUUAUUUGAUUGAUAAAUGUAAUUUUAUUGUAAAAAUCAUAAUUUCACAAUGAAAAUUAUUAAGAAAUUAAAAUUUGAUUGAAAAAAUGAUUGUACAAUCCAUAAAAAUGAUGGUCAAUCAUUUUUUUAACUGAAAUAUUCCAAAAUAAUUAAAUUCUAGCCUUUUUAGUAUCAUACACAUUGUAAAUAUAAACAUAACAAAUUUUUCUUUGUUGUUGCGAGCUACAUUAACGAAUUUACCAUCUUAUCGGUUGAAUUCCUGAAUGUUGUGCAAAUUACACGUACACACACAAACACUCUCAUUGUUUUUGUUGUUAUGACUGGUUACGUUCACAAAUGGAGUCUGUAUUAACGAUUGAAUAGAAUAUUUUUCUAAAAGCGAA